rnacentral:rRNA from 1 species
UACAGAGGUCUCAAGCGUUGUUCGGAUUCAUUGGGCGUAAAGGGUGCGUAGGCGGCGCGGUAAGUCGAGUGUGAAAGCCCCGAGCUUAACUUGGGAAUUGCGCUCGAAACUACGGAGCUGGAGUGUGGCAGAGGAAGGUGGAAUUCCACGUGUAGCGGUGAAAUGCGUAGAGAUGUGGAGGAACACCGAUGGCGAAGGCAGCCUUCUGGGCCAACACUGACGCUCAUGCACGAAAGCGUGGGGAGCAAACAGG